rnacentral:rRNA from 1 species
UGCAAGUCGAACGGAAACGAUGGGAGCUUGCUCCCAGGCGUCGAGUGGCGGACGGGUGAGUAAUACUUAGGAAUCUACCCAGUAGCGGGGGACAACUCGAGGAAACUCGAGCUAAUACCGCAUACGCCCUACGGGGGAAAGCAGGGGAUCUUCGGACCUUGCACUAUUGGAUGAGCCUAAGUCGGAUUAGCUUGUUGGUGAGGUAAAGGCUCACCAAGGCGACGAUCCGUAGCUGGUCUGAGAGGACGAUCAGCCACACUGGGACUGAGACACGGCCCAGACUCCUACGGGAGGCAGCAGUGGGGAAUAUUGGACAAUGGGGGCAACCCUGAUCCAGCAAUGCCGCGUGUGUGAAGAAGGCCUGCGGGUUGUAAACUUCUGUCGGAGGGGACGAAAGCUUUCGUGGUUAAUACCCAUGAUUGUUGACGGUACCCUAUGAGGAAGCCCCGGCUAACUCCGUGCCAGCAGCCGCGGUAAUACGGGGGGGGCAAGCGUUGUUCGGAAUUACUGGGCGUAAAGGGCGCGUAGGCGGGCGGGAAAGUCUUUCGUGAAAUCCCACGGCUCAACCGUGGAACUGCGGAAGAUACUACUCGUCUUGAGUUCGGGAGAGGAGUGUG